GACGCUGCCGCUGCAGCAGCUCCUGCAUCAGAUACUGCUGCAACAGGUGCUGCUGCGGCAGCUCCUGCAGCAGAUACUGCUGCAGCAGAUGCUGCUGCAGCAGCUCCUGCAGCAGAUGCUGCUGCGGCAGGUCCUGCAGCAGAUACUGCUGCAGCAGAUGCUGCUGCAGCAGCUCCUGCAGCAGAUGCUGCUGCAGCAGCUCCUGCAGCAGAUGC
rnacentral:sRNA from 1 species